rnacentral:rRNA from 1 species
AUACGGAGGGAGCAAGCGUUGUUCGGAAUCACUGGGCGUAAAGCGAGUGUAGGUUGUCAGGUAAGUAGGAUGUGAAAGCCCGGGGCUCAACCCCGGAAUUGCAUUCUAAACUGCCUGGCUAGAGUCCCGGAGAGGGAGGUGGAAUUCCGAGUGUAGAGGUGAAAUUCGUAGAUAUUCGGAGGAACACCAGAGGCGAAGGCGACCUCCUGGACGGUGACUGACACUGAGACUCGAAAGCGUGGGGAGCAAACAGGAUUAGAAACCCCGGUAGUCC